UACGAAAGGUGCAAGCGUUACUCGGAAUCACUGGGCGUAAAGCGCACGUAGGCGGAUUGUUAAGUCAGGGGUGAAAUCCUGGAGCUCAACUCCAGAACUGCCUUUGAUACUGGCGAUCUCGAGUCCGGGAGAGGUGAGUGGAACUGCGAGUGUAGAGGUGAAAUUCGUAGAUAUUCGCAAGAACACCAGUGGCGAAGGCGGCUCACUGGCCCGAUACUGACGCUGAGGCACGAAAGCGUGGGGAGCAAACAGG
rnacentral:rRNA from 1 species